rnacentral:rRNA from 1 species
UACAGAGGGUGCGAGCGUUAAUCGGAAUUACUGGGCGUAAAGCGCGCGUAGGCGGCUUUGCAAGUCGGGUGUGAAAUCCCCAGGCUUAACCUGGGAACUGCAUUCGAGACUGCAUUGCUAGAGUAUGGGAGAGGGAAGUGGAAUUCCGAGUGUAGAGGUGAAAUUCGUAGAUAUUCGGAAGAACACCAGUGGCGAAGGCGACUUACUGGACACAUAUUGACGCUGAGGUGCGAAAGCGUGGGGAGCAAACAGG